CCACGUGUCCUGCUGUCCUUCAUUCCACCGGAGUCUGUCUCAUACAUAAUCAGAUUUCAGUAGAGUGAAGCACAAGAGGCAUGUAG
rnacentral:pre_miRNA from 1 species